ensembl:snRNA U6 U6 spliceosomal RNA
CUGCUUCGUUCGUUUGGCAGCAGAUAUACCAAAAUUGGAAGGAUACUGAGAAGAUUAGCAUGGCUCCUGUGCAAGGAUGACAGGAAAAUUCAUAAAGCAUUACAUAUAAAA